AUUGAAACACCGGUUCCCGUACAAUCACCAAAGUUAAGCAACAUCGAGACUGUUCAAUACCUAGAUGGGUAACCUCUUGGGAAUACCAUGUGCUGUAAG